AGCCACUGAUGACAAACUAAACUUUUCUGACACCUCGUAUGAGAGCUCAGCUCCUGAUUCUAACUCUUAUCUGAGGCUC